rnacentral:rRNA from 1 species
AGCGAACGCUGGCGGCAGGCCUAACACAUGCAAGACGAACGAAGUCUUCGGACUUAGUGGCGGACGGGUGAGUAACACGUGGGAACGUACCUUUUGGUUCGGAACAACUCAGGGAAACUUGAGCUAAUACCGAAUGUGCCCUUCGGGGGAAAGAUUUAUCGCCAUUAGAGCGGCCCGCGUUAGAUUAGCUAGUUGGUGGG